UGAGUAACCUGCCCUUAACUCUGGGAUAAGCCUGGGAAACUGGGUCUAAUACCGGAUAUGACUCCUCAUCGCAUGGUGGGGGGUGGAAAGCUUUAUUGUGGUUUUGGAUGGACUCGCGGCCCAUCAGCUUGUUGGUGAGGUAAUGGCUUACCAAGGCGACGACGGGUAGCCGGCCUGAGAGGGUGACCGGCCACACUGGGACUGAGACACGGCCCAGACUCCUACGGGAGGCAG
rnacentral:rRNA from 1 species